rnacentral:snoRNA from 1 species
GCUAACUGCUAAUAAUUCAAUUGUUAUCAAUGUGAUCUGUGAUGAACUUUAUCACCAUCUUUCGGCUGAUGUUGGA